rnacentral:lncRNA from 1 species
UUGCAAAAUUGCCGCUAAACCCCUCAACUUUUACCCUCUCACACAGCCUGGACUGGGCUGUUCGCGCAGGCGGGGACCGGUCUCUCCUUCAGGGACCGGUUCCCGAAGGCUCUCCCCGUGCAGCCAGAGCUGCUGCGCGCGAUGCAUCCGGUCUCUCUUUGGGGGACCGGUCUCUCGGGGACUAGUCUCUCAGACAGGGACCGGUUCCCGAGAGCUGAUUUCUCAGGACUUAGCCGAUUUUUCGGCUGUCUCAUUUCAUACGCGUUCGGGGACCGGUCUCUCCCACCAGGGACCGGUCCCCGAGAGCUCAAAAUCUGCAGUUUUGCAUAAUUUGAUUCUUUAGCUCUAGAAAACCUUCCACAACGCACUCUUGAUCAUUUUAACACCUUCGGACUUUUCGAUGUGUACCAUCCUCGCACUUUGGUCAAUUUGACUAAAGUUCAAUAUUUAUUUUUCAAAUUUUCGGUAUAUUACAAUUUGGGGCUGAGGUGUAUGUGAGACGUCCAUCGCCUCGAGCCUGGUUCUAAUGCGGUACUCCGUAGACGAUUGACUCAAGACCGAGUCGGGUGGUUAGCCUCGUAAAGGUAGAUGAAACUUUAUGAUUAAAACGGUGAUUGACAAGAAUCUAAGAUAGAGGAAACCUUAGAUAUCAAAUGGAUGAGCUAUGGUUAGCAGAAUUGAAAGUAGUAUCGAAUGAACUACUAGUUGGUUGCAUAGUUGCAUUAUUGCAUGAUUUGCAUAUAGUAUUGCAUUAUUACGUUUAUGAGGCAAUGCAUGGUUUUAUUCGUUGCAUAAUCAAGAUAUAUAUAUCAAUCUGUUUAUUAAACUAACCUGCAGUUGUCUCCUUUGAACCUGUUGGUCGAGCAUUUCCCUUGGGUGGCCGUACCCACUAGGAACCAUGGAGUUGGUUCUCACCCCACGUGGUUUUGAGGUGUUACAGGUUCGCACGUGAGCAGCGCGGCGGCGCGAGGCGAGGGCAUAGCUCCAUUGUUAGCGCCCUACCACCGAGACCAGAGAUAGCGGUACCCUGAGUCGGCCUUACUUAGAGAUGUAAAGAAUGAAAAGAAUCAAAUUGUAAUAAUCAUGUUAAAUCGGAUUGUAUUUGGAAGUUAAGUGAAAGCUAAUGUAAGAAUCAAUUGAGAAUUGUGAUGUAAAAAUGUAUGAAUGUGAAUGCUUGUAAUAAUAUAGGAAGUGUUAUGUUGUUUGAUACCUUCCAUUAUGCAAUCUUGAUUGAAAUGUGUUCCUGGUUGGA